GCAGAGCCUACCGGUUGACGUCUCAAUCGCGUUGUGCUUGUUUAGGCCAGCAGAGGGGGCUGCUCGCUAUAUCAGCUUCAUUCACUCUUCUUCUUCUACUAACUACUUGCUCGCGAUAGUUUUAGAGAAAACUGCUGUGGAAAACUCGACCAGAAGCUAGCAAGUGUCAAGUGAAUCCACAACAUUACCAGAAACGUAUUUUCAAGUCAGAAAUGUAAUAUAUUUAGAAAUGUUCAUGGAUAACAUUAGCAGUGGAGAGGAGGAAGACUGGAAAGGAAGAAGAGUGAAGGAGACAGAGGAGGAAAGGCCAUGCUUAUUGUGAAGACAAACUUCAACCUCCCCUGCCAGGAGUUCAUGGAGAAGCUGGCCAAAGACAGAGCAAUCCUGAAGAAGAUACAUUCUUCUGAGAAAUAUACAGAUUAGGACCAUGGAAUGGCUGUUCAGAUCGGACAGUUAUGUCUUGUCUGUAGCGUUUCUGUAAUAUAUUUGUUUUCUCUGUCUAUCACAGUGUGCCUGUUAGACUAAAUACAUGAAACUGGAAUUGUCACCCUUUUUUAUUUCAUAGAUAAUAUAACAUUGGAUAUUUUAAUUAUAUUGUAAUGACCUGACUAGAUCAUAAAGGAACAAUUGUCCAGACAGAGGAUUGAGUUUACGAAUUGA